UACGUAGGUGGCAAGCGUUGUCCGGAAUUAUUGGGCGUAAAGCGCGCGCAGGCGGUCCUUUAAGUCUGAUGUGAAAGCCCACGGCUCAACCGUGGAGGGUCAUUGGAAACUGGGGGACUUGAGUACAGAAGAGGAAAGUGGAAUUCCAUGUGUAGCGGUGAAAUGCGUAGAGAUAUGGAGGAACACCAGUGGCGAAGGCGACUUUCUGGUCUGUAACUGACACUGAGGCGCGAAAGCGUGGGGAGCAAACAGG
rnacentral:rRNA from 1 species